UGAUGUCAGUAUGGUUAUAGUCCCCCAGCUUCUCAACUUCCAAUCCAGCUCCCUGUUAGCAUGCCUGAAAAGACAGCAGAUGAUAGCCCAAGGAUGAAAUCCCAUUAGUCAUUUCCUCCAGGGGAUUGCGAAGAUCAUUACAAGGAACUUGAAUCAUCCUGAAAUAGAGAACUAUGACAGAUAACACUGGCACAAGCCUUUCAGAUCUUCAGGGAUAUCUGUAUAUCAUAACUGACAACUAGGAAAAUGGAAAAACUCUUCAAGAUCCAAAAUAUGGAAUUUCCAGAGGAAUUUCAGGAUCUGUCACUGGUGGCAGUCAGAAUAAACUGGAUAUGCCAAGGACUCACACUGUGUGCCUUGGUGGAAUGGUAAGGGAUCCCCGUAAGAACAAAAGUGCCGCUGCUUGACUUCAACUUGGGAAUGGACAUCAGUGCUGUGUUCUAAUGAAUACAGUUAUUUGCAUAUAUACCUAUAUAGGUGAGGAAUACAAAAGAAAUGGAGUGUGACAAAGUCUACCUGAGUUACAUGUGGCAUUUUAAAUUGGAAAAUGUUCUUCAGAAAUCUUGUAGUUACGGUAUGUUUUUUUACCUCAAGUACUUCCUGGUAUCCUUUCCAUAAUUUUUGGUCAUGUAAAAUGUAUAUUUUGAACAAACUAUUCAUAAAUGUCAAGUUUUUAC